CGACCGGCGCACGGGUGAGUAACACGUAUGCAACCUGCCCUCCGCAGGGGGAUAACCCGGAGAAAUCCGGACUAAUACCGCGUGGUACAUCUGUGGGGCAUCCCACGGGUGUUAAAAGGAAGCGAUUCCGGCGGAGGAUGGGCAUGCGGCGCAUUAGCUAGUUGGCGGUGUAACGGACCACCAAGACGACGAUGCGUAGGGGUCCUGAGAGGAAGGUCCCCCACACUGGUACUGAGACACGGACCAGACUCCUACGGAAGGCAGCAG
rnacentral:rRNA from 1 species